rnacentral:rRNA from 1 species
CGGAUCGGAGUCUGNAACCCGACUCCGUGAAGCUGGAUUCGCUAGUAAUCGCGCAUCAGCCAUGGCGCGGUGAAUACGUUCCCGGGCCUUGUACACACCGCCCGUCAAGCCAUGGGAGCCGGGGGCACUUGAAGUACGCCGCCGCGAGGAGCGUCCUAGAGUGAAACUGGUGACUGGGGCUAAGUCGUAACAAGGUACC